UACGUAGGGACCGAGCGUUGUCCGGAAUCAUUGGGCGUAAAGAGCGUGUAGGCGGCCAAUUAAGUCCUGCGUGAAAUCUCGGGGCUCAACCCCGAGCGGUCGUGGGAAACUGGUUGGCUAGAGUGCGGGAGAGGAGAGUGGGAAUUCCUGGUGUAGCGGUGGAAUGCGCAGAUAUCAGGAAGAACACCCGUGGCGAAGGCGGCUCUCUGGGCAGUGACUGACGCUGAGGCGCGACAGCGUGGGGAGCAAACAGG
rnacentral:rRNA from 1 species